AUCGCUUCAUGGCCUUUUUGCUAAGAUCAAGUGCAGUAUCUGUUCUUAUUAGUUUAAGUUUAAAAAAAACAUGGAGGCAUCCAUGCACAGUCAACCUUUAGAAAAAAUAUUUCCUGAUACUAAAGUAUUGGGAGAACUAUCUCUUAAUUUUUAUAAAUUUGGGUCAAAAUCCAUC
rnacentral:snRNA from 1 species